rnacentral:tRNA from 1 species
UGCCCUCGGUGGCUCAGAUGGGUAGAGUGUCUGCCAUGUAAGCAGAAGAUCCCGGGUUCGAGUCCCGGUCGGGCAC